AUCUCUCUCUACAGCACCCAUCAUGGAACCAGCCCCUGGCAAUGUCAACAUCUACUAUUUCCCCAAGAGUAUUGACUGGCUGUGAUAGUUCUGCUUGGAAAAUGGCUCUGUGGAGUUCUGUCACCAACAAGAUGCUUUUUUGGAUGUCGGCCAAGCAGAAAAUACCAACACAAUUACCACCACAACAUAAGUGCAUUAUUGGUUUUGGAAGAAGAGUCCAUAAAUGCCUCAGCAACCCACCCCAGAAGUAUCCUGUCCACAGCAACGUUGGUGGAAGAAGCAAUGAGGAGUUUCCACGGAGUUGCCCUUGGACCCUCCAUAGCUUCACUGCUUUCAAAGAGCUUCACGAGGAACAAGAUCACCACAGACAGCAAGUAGCUCUUGCCAGCUCCAAAAACACCUGGUAUUUUGGAAGAAAAAGCCCAAGUUAUAAGUGAGACUUUCCUAGAAAGUCUGAAUCAGUUGCUUUAACUUCAGUUAUACUGUGUGACUCCUCUAAAAAAAAUUGCAUGGGCUUGCUUACACUUAGAAAAACAAAGCUAAUACAAGAUAAAAAGUGGUUUUAAUAUGAAAAGAAAAAAGCGGAAGACACUAAAUAACUCCAACUUUGUGUAUAGGUAUUUCUAGGCAAAACCUCCUAUGCUUCAGUGAAAUCCUGUAAAAGGCAGAAUGAAAAUUUAAUUCAAAUUUAAUUUCAAUUUAAAGGGGCAAAAGCUCUAUGCUGACAGAAUGGAUGUUUUAAUGUCACAGACAUUAUCAGAGGGGUUGAUUCUGCCAUUUCAUAUUAAUGGCAUAUCCCAUUAACCAACAUUUGUACAAAGACAGAAUAGCAGCAAAUGUCACAAUUCUUGGCAGAGUACCACGUAUGAUUGUGAUGGGGCAGCUCUGAUGUUCCUCCCCUGGUUUGGGGUUUUCACAGCCCAUCAUCUGAGCUACGUGAAUCAGUGAUGCUGCUUGGUCUGGGUUCAGGGAGAACCUUUGGAUCAUCUCUUCAGCCACUCCCAUUGCCACUUCAGAGCUCACAGGGCCAGACAUCAUUGAGCAUUUCAGGCUCAUGGCAGGUGGAGUAAAUUUCCUUUUGUUGACUCUUUUUGUAGUAUUUUCAGAAUUAACAUUCCUAAAGAAACAAAAAAUAGCCAAAAGUUGUGAUAUGAUAGAGUAUCUCCUGGUUCUGAUAUUCCUGACUGGACUGACCACGGUAUCACAGGACAGUAACUCACAUUUUCAGGAGAUAUGGGAUCAGUGGUAAUGUGGAUGGAUUGAAGUGCUCUUCCAUGUUCCUUAAGGAUGCCAGCUCACCACUGGCAUUACAAACCAGCAAGGCGUGAACACACACUAGAAGGGCCACAGAAAAAGAAAAGGAGAAAGAAAUUAAUAGAGUAGAAAUUUCAAAUCAGCUAAAGAAAUGCAAUAUAAAAUGGCAAAAGAGUAAUUAACUGAUUUUAUCUUCUUCAUUUACAAAUCAAAACAACUGCAAAGCUUCAACUUAAUUCAACAGCAAAACCAAGAAACUUUUGCGGAAUCACAGACUUUGAGGUUUCUGCAUUUUGUUUUUCAAGGACAGUAAAAAUAUAUUCCUUUUCUUACACUCUGACAAUCAACUUGCAUUGUAUACCAUAUUACAUAAUUUACUACUUUCUUCAUAUUAUUCUCAUUUCUUCCCCACCCAUUUGGAAUUUGCCAGUGACUUUGCAGGUUUAAUUGCGUUAAUUACCAUAUUCAAAUUAUAUAUUCCAACACACAAGGAAAAAAAGUACUGUGAACUAAAUCAUGUGCAAGGUCUGAGAAAUUCCAAACUCAUCCUUCAUUGGUGGCUGGAUUUUUCCUUAGCUGUUUCCCACAGUUCUGAAUGCUGCUGUGAAACUCACUGCUGGAUCUCCAGUUGGAGGGACUGUAGCCUUUCAGUGGUAGCAGUUCUAUUUCAUUGUUGGAGGAUGGUCCAAAGAAAGCACUGCUUGCGAUGAAAGUAUCGAUGGGAUCAAAGUUCAGAGUCUUGGAAACAACCCAGAUGUCAUCUGCCAAAAAAAAUAGAGUCCUCAUAAGCUUCUCCCACUGCCGCCUUCUAAAUCUGAUGUGUAAGAUGUGCUCACCUUUGCUGUAGAGAGAAGAAUGCUCCUUUCUGCUUAGUUUCAGAAACAUUUACUCUUUAAAUGUAGAGAAAAUGUGUUAAAUCCUGCUGAAAGCCUGAGCGACUGGAGUAUUUAUAAACCUUGAAUUCACAAUUCAAUUUCAGGAUACCUCACCAAAAGCUGGCAUUCCUCAUAGACAGCAAUCUUUUGACUCCUGAGGUAAGUCCCAAUAC